GAGUUUGAUCCUGGCUCAGGAUGAACGCUGGCGGCGCGCCUAACACAUGCAAGUCGAACGGCACCCACCUCCGGGUGGAAGCGAGUGGCGAACGGCUGAGUAACACGUGGAGAACCUGCCCCCUCCCCCGGGAUAGCCGCCCGAAAGGACGGGUAAUACCGGAUACCCCCGGGUGCCGCAUGGCGCCCGGGCUAAAGCCCCGACGGGAGGGGAUGGCUCCGCGGCCCAUCAGGUAGACGGCGGGGUGACGGCCCACCGUGCCGACAACGGGUAGCCGGGUUGAGAGACCGACCGGCCAGAUUGGGACUGAGACACGGCCCAGACUCCUACGGGAGGCAGCAGUGGGGAAUCUUGCGCAAUGGGGGCAACCCUGACGCAGCGACGCCGCGUGCGGGACGGAGGCCUUCGGGUCGUAAACCGCUUUCAGCAGGGAAGAGACGAGACUGUACCUGCAGAAGAAGCCCCGGCUAACUACGUGCCAGCAGCCGCGGUAAUACGUAGGGGGCGAGCGUUAUCCGGAUUCAUUGGGCGUAAAGCGCGCGUAGGCGGCCCGGCAGGCCGGGGGUCGAAGCGGGGGGCUCAACCCCCCGAAGCCCCCGGAACCUCCGCGGCUUGGGUCCGGUAGGGGAGGGUGGAACACCCGGUGUAGCGGUGGAAUGCGCAGAUAUCGGGUGGAACACGGUGGCGAAGGCGGCCCUCUGGGCCGAGACCGACGCUGAGGCGCGAAGCUGGGGGAGCGAACAGGAUUAGAUACCCUGGUAGUCCCAGCCGUAAACGAUGGACGCUAGGUGUGGGGGGACGAUCCCCCCGUGCCGCAGCCAACGCAUUAAGCGUCCCGCCUGGGGAGUACGGCCGCAAGGCUAAAACUCAAAGGAAUUGACGUGGGCCCGCACAAGCAGCGGAGCAUGUGGCUUAAUUCGAAGCAACGCGAAGAACCUUACCAGGGCUUGACAUAUGGGUGAAGCGGGGGAGACCCCGUGGCCGAGAGGAGCCCAUACAGGUGGUGCAUGGCUGUCGUCAGCUCGUGUCGUGAGAUGUUGGGUUAAGUCCCGCAACGAGCGCAACCCCCGCCGCGUGUUGCCAUCGGGUGAUGCCGGGAACCCACGCGGGACCGCCGCCGUCAAGGCGGAGGAGGGCGGGGACGACGUCAAGUCAUCAUGCCCCUUAUGCCCUGGGCUGCACACGUGCUACAAUGGCCGGUACAGAGGGAUGCCACCCUGCGAGGGGGAGCGGAUCCCGGAAACCCGGCCCCAGUUCGGAUUGGGGGCUGCAACCCGCCCCCAUGAAGUCGGAGUUGCUAGUAAUCGCGGAUCAGCAUGCCGCGGUGAAUGCGUUCCCGGGCCUUGUACACACCGCCCGUC
rnacentral:rRNA from 1 species